rnacentral:rRNA from 1 species
UAGGGAAUCUUCGGCAAUGGACGGAAGUCUGACCGAGCAACGCCGCGUGAGUGAAGAAGGUUUUCGGAUCGUAAAGCUCUGUUGUGAGAGAAGAACGAGUGUGAGAGUGGAAAGUUCACACUGUGACGGUAUCUUACCAGAAAGGGACGGCUAACUACGUGCCAGCAGCCGCGGUAAUGCGUAGGUCCCGAGCGUUGUCCGGAUUUAUUGGGCGUAAAGCGAGCGCAGGCGGUUUAGAUAAGUCUGAAGUUAAAGGCUGUGGCUUAACCAUAGUACGCUUUGGAAACUGUUUAACUUGAGUGCAAGAGGGGAGAGUGGAAUUCCAUGUGUAGCGGUGAAAAUGCGUAGAUAUAUGGAGGAACACCGGUGGCGAAAAGCGGCUCUCUGGCUUGUAACUGACGCUGAGGCUCGAAAGCGUGGGGAGCAAACAGGAUUAGAUACCCUGGUAGUCCACGCCGUAAACGAUGAGUGCUAGGUGUUAGACCCUUUCCGGGGUUUAGUGCCGCAGCUAACGCAUUAAGCACUCCGCCUGGGGAGUACGACCGCAAGGUUGAAACUCAAAGG